AUUGAACGCUGGCGGCAGGCCUAACACAUGCAAGUCGAGCGAGCGGCGGACGGGUGAGUAAUGUAUGGGGACUGCCUGAUGGCGGGGGAUAACUACUGGAAACGGUGGCUAAUACCGCAUACUAUCGGAUAACCCAUAUGGGAUUAGCUAGUAGGUAAGGUAACGGCUUACCUAGGCGACGAUCCCUAGCUGGUCUGAGAGGAUGAUCAGCCACACGGGGACUGAGACACGGCCCAGACUCCUACGGAGGCAGCAGUGGGGAAUAUUGCACAAUGGGCGCAAGCCGGAUGCAGCCAUGCCGCGUGUAUGAAGAAGGCCUUCGGGUUGUAAAGUACUUUCAGUCGGGAGGCGUUACCGGCAGAAGAAGCACCGGCUAACUCCGUGCCAGCAGCCGCGGUAAUAC
rnacentral:rRNA from 1 species